CGGACGGGUGAGUAAUGUCUGGGAAACUGCCUGAUGGAGGGGGAUAACUACUGGAAACGGUAGCUAAUACCGCAUAAUGUCGCAAGACCAAAGAGGGGGACCUUCGGGCCUCUUGCCAUCGGAUGUGCCCAGAUGGGAUUAGCUAGUAGGUGGGGUAACGGCUCACCUAGGCGACGAUCCCUAGCUGGUCUGAGAGGAUGACCAGCCACACUGGAACUGAGACACGGUCCAG
rnacentral:rRNA from 2 species